AUGCACGCUGGCGGCGUGCUUAACCCAUGCAAGUCGAACGGAAAGGCCCAAGCUUGCUUGGGUACUCGAGUGGCGAACGGGUGAGUAACACGUGGGUGAUCUGCCCUGCACUUCGGGAUAAGCCUGGGAAACUGGGUCUAAUACCGGAUAGGACCACAUUUUGGAUGGUGUGGUGGAAAGUUUUUCGGUGUGGGAUGAGCUCGCGGCCUAUCAGCUUGUUGGUGGGGUAAUGGCCUACCAAGGCGUCGACGGGUAGCCGGCCUGAGAGGGUGUACGGCCACAUUGGGACUGAGAUACGGCCCAGACUCCUACGGGAGGCAGCAGUGGGGAAUAUUGCACAAUGGGCGCAAGCCUGAUGCAGCGACGCCGCGUGGGGGAUGACGGCCUUCGGGUUGUAAACUCCUGUCGCUAGGGACGAAGCGUUUUUGUGACGGUACCUGGAGAAGAAGCACCGGCUAACUACGUG
rnacentral:rRNA from 1 species